UACGUAGGGUGCGAGCGUUUGUCCGGAAUUAUUGGGCGUAAAGAGCUCGUAGGCGGUCUGUCGCGUCUGCUGUGAAAUCCCGAGGCUCAACCUCGGGUCUGCAGUCGAUACGGGCGGACUGGAGUUCGGCAGGGGGAGACUGGAAUUCCUGGUGUAGCGGUGAAAUGACGCAGAUAUCAGGAGGAACACCGGUGGCGAAGGCGGGUCUCUGGGCCGAUACUGACGCUGAGGAGCGAAAGCGUGGGGAGCGAACAGG
rnacentral:rRNA from 1 species